AUGAAGAGCCUCAUGUGGCUCCUGAAGGCUCCGCCCCCCUCUCUCUCUGUCUCUCUCUCUGUCUGUGAUGCUCUCUGGCCCCGCCCCUCAGUGUGUGGCUGUGUUCUCUCUACAGAGGUGAACUCCCUCCAUCAUGUUACCUCUCAGGGCGCUGCGCCUCCUGCGUCCCCCAAACACGCCGCCACCAUCGAACGUGGACCACGGAUGAACAACACGCCUCAGCUUUCCUCGGGGCCCAAGCUGAUCUCCAGCAGCACAAAAGGCCCCAGUGGCGUGGGUGGAGUCAUGGGUGGAGUCAUGGGCGGAGGAGGAAUGAGACACAACAGCAGCCACCCCAACUUCUCCCACUCCUUCCACAACCUGGCUCAGCUGCCCCUGUCCUACGAGGCCACCAUGAAGCCCGAGAUCAGCCGCUACAGCUCCCUAAAGAGGCUGGAGAGAGAACUGGACGACUACGGCUACCACUCGUCUAAGCGCCGCUCCACCAACGCUCCCCCCUCCUUCCACUCCUCUCAGCACCACCUGCCGUGGGGGGGCGACUACACGCUGAGCUCACGAGGCACCCUGCCCCUCCACAUGCCCUCCACCCCCAACCCCUACCCGCUGCCCCCCACCGCCCCGUCGCACUACGGUGUGUCCAGCUUCGACCGCCCGCCGCGCCGUGUUCGGUCCCAGGACCAGCUGCUGGCGCUGGGGGACACGCUGUCACGUCUGUCCAAGAACCAGCAGCACCAGUACCAUAAAGCCAUGAUGGGAGGGGGGCGGAGCUCCACCUCACAGCUGCUACGCAGGUCUCAUGAACGGCUCCUGGUGUCCCCCGACCGCCUGGAGGACCGCCUGCUGAUGGGUGUGGUGAUGGGCGGGGGCGGCGGUGGGGGUGGUGGAAUGAUGGUUCCCACCAUGGGGCGCCUCUCCCACCACCAGAAGGCCCAGUCGCAGCAGAACAUCUGCGUCACGCCGUCCAUGGACCGCCAUCACAUGGUCAAGAUGAACUCCCACCCGACGUCUGGCUACGAGCACGACCGGGUGCCCGUUACCGCCAUGGGCAUGCACAGCGGCUGGGACCCGCACGGCGGCCCCGUGGGCGGUCACCCUAGUGCCCGACGCAUGGCCUUUGCCAACAAAAGGCAGAACACCAUCGAGCAGCUGCACUUCAUCCCUGGGGUGGGCGGAGCCGGCCAGGGCCUGAGGACGGGCAGCAAGAAUGAGGUGACGGU
rnacentral:lncRNA from 1 species